AACCACCUCUCCGUCCACCGACCGCUUCUCCUUCUUUAUCGUCCUCACCGAUGAAAACCGCCGUUCUUCUCCACCCACCAUUAACAAUCCGCCGUUUACCUUCAAUACUCCAUCAAAACCACCGCGGAAUCCACCAUUCUCCACCUCGACACAAUCCUUCCACCAUUUCCAAGCUUUCGUGAACAACCUAUACCUCACUGUGCAAGAUCUUCCUCCACCGUGCUGAAACUAUAAUAGAACACCGCAUCACAAGCCCGCUGCUUCAUCACUACACGUGUUCGUCUCAGUUACUCCACAAACUCCCAUUGCACAUGCUCCAUGUAUCGGCAUCUUCAAAGCCAUGGAGACAUCAAAUUUGUUUUGGAAAAUUUUCUUAAAUAUGCAAGUUUUCGUUUGAGUUUAUGUUACGGUUCAUUCACAUUUGGUAAUUGGUGUAGACUUUUUGUGAUGUUCGUUUUUGCUCUUUAUUUCAAUGUUAACAUGUAAUGAUUCAUGAUGCUGCUACAUUGUGGUUAUAAUUCUUAUGGAUAUCACUAUUAUUGUUGAGUCUAAAAGAGUUUAGGUUUUUGUAUUAUGUGUAAAUGGUUAUGGAUAUUCUUCAAUUGAAAGGAAGGAUGACCAAGUGAGUCUAAAAAAUAAAGAUGUGUAUUCUGGGUGAAAUGAAAUAACAGGAAGUUCUUUUUUAGUUUAUA